CCUACGGGAGGCAGCAGUGAGGAAUAUUGGUCAAUGGCCGGAAGGCUGAACCAGCCAUGCCGCGUGAAGGUCAGUGCCCUAUGGGCGUUAAACUUCUUUUGUGCGGGAGCAAUAAUGGUCACGUGUGGCCAGACGAGAGUACCGUACGAAUAAGCAUCGGCUAACUCCGUGCCAGCAGCCGCGGUAAUACGGGGGAUGCAAGCGUUAUCCGGCUUUAUUGGGUUUAAAGGGUGCGUAGGCUGUGAGGUAAGUCAGCGGUGAAAUGCCCCCGCUCAACGGGGUGAAGUGCCAUUGAUACUGCCUGGCUGGAAUGCGGAUGCCGUGGGAGGAAUGUGUGGUGUAGCGGUGAAAUGCAUAGAUAUCACACAGAACACCGAUUGCGAAGGCAUCUCACGAAUCCGCGAUUGACGCUGAUGCACGAAAGCGUGGGUAUCAAACAGGAUUAGAUACCCUUGUAGUC
rnacentral:rRNA from 1 species